rnacentral:lncRNA from 1 species
CUAAGCCUUCUUUUAAUGAUUCUAUCUCCCUUUACCAUAAUAAAGGGUCUUUCAUGGCUAAAAUGAAAGGUAAGAAAACGUAUAUGUUCAUCAUGGUUGACCUGGAGAAAAUCUAUGAUUGUCUUAAUUAGAACUUUAUUGAAACACUAUUUGGGGGAUAUAAGUUUCCUCCUUAGCUUAUCGAGAAAAUCCACCAUUGUAUUUCGUCUCUUUCUUAUAAAAUCAUGUGGAAUAGGGAGAAAACACGUGAUUUUAAUCCUUGAAUAUGAAAAGGAGACCCUUUUAUCUCCUUAAUUAUUUGUUUUAUGGAUAGAUUUUAAAUAUUAUAUUUGACCAGAUUGAGGUUGGGUAUUGGAGACCAGUGCAUAUAGGUAUGUAUGGUCCCCAAAUUUCUCACCAUCCUUUUAUUGACGAUCUUCUUUUUGUAGAGGCUUAUAUUGAGCAGCCUCAUUAUGUCAUUCAUUUCCGUGGUCUUUUCUGCCAAGCUUCAUGCCAAAAGAUCAACAAUCAAAAAGUAUAAAUCCAUUCUCUAAGAAUGUCGAUAAUCAUCUCAGCAAAGAUACUUUAAUUUAUAUUUGUUCUCUCAUGUUAAUUAUUUGAGUUGAUACAUGGGAGCUAAUUUAGCUACCAAUCAAUCUACAAGCCCACAAUUUAAGUAUAUUGUCCAAAACUUACAUAAUAGGCGUAGUAAGUGGAAGAAACUAUGUUCAAGUCUUGCAGGGAGAGUUAUGCUAUCUAAGUCAAUUAUUAGUUCUAUUUCAUAUUAUCAUAUGCAGUGUGAAGAUCCCCAAAACUAUUUGUGAUAAAAUUAAGAAAAAUGUGAGUGGUUUUCUGUGGGGAGGAAAAAACCAUUUGGUGAAUCAGGAUGUUUGUUGCUAGUCUAAGUUUGAUGGUGACUUGGGGUUUAAGAGUCUGGAUCUUAUGAAUGAGACUUUUUGUAAUAAAGAUGAAGUGUAAUGUCAUCAACAAACUAAAUGAGCUAGCUCUAGUCAAAAGUCCUUAUUAGCAAGUAGGUAAUAAGUAACAAUCUCAGCCUUAUAGUUCUCCUAUGUGAAAAACUCUUGCGGGAAUUUGUAGUGAUUUCCAAUGCAAUGUGGUUUGACAAAUAUGAGAUGGUAGAAGGAUAAACUAAUAUUGUGGAUUAACUAUCUGAUUUAAUGGACCUAAUGAGAUUUACAUGUUUUAUUUAAUGGGAUGAUUAAGUAUUAAUACUCACCAUUUUUUUAUUUAGAGUAUUCGUAGGUUGAACAUGGGGAUAUGCAUGCCCUAGAUGAAGAUUGGAAGUCUUUAUGUGACGGGAGAAGACCUCAUUAUCCAAACUUUCAUAUGUUCUGAGUCUCAAGAGAACACAUCCAUACCAAUUUUAGGAUAAAGCAAGUGGGAAGUGAGCAUAUCUCCACAUUGCACAAGAGGUGGGAAAGAAGAUGAUGUAACCAUUCAUGUCUUUAUAAUUGGUUUCUAUACUUUUAAUUGUAUGAACUAAAUUUUCAAUAAAAUCAACCGUUUGGUUAUUGAUGCAAC